GUUGGUUGAAAAACACCCUCGGCUUUGGCCGUGGCCACGGGUGAGAUUCGACGCCCAGAGCCUCCCGGGGGCGUCAGCUCACUGCGCGCUGCUCCAGGUGCGGCGGCGAAACCCAGGCCCCCACAGGC
ensembl:snoRNA